AGAGUAUCUGGACCUGAAGGAAGUGUUCAGAAGGGCUGGUGGCACAGGUGUCCUAGCUCACCCAGCAGAUCCAUCAGCUCACAUCUCCCACUGUGCCCAUUGCACCGCCUGCGCCGUCCGUCCCCCGGGAGACCCCCCCAGGACCACUUCCGGUCAGAGCCGUGACUUCCGGUGCCUGAAAACUAUUCUGUUCCUGUGCCAUCCUCUCCUGCUGCCAUCUCAU